CGGCCAGACUCCUACGGGAGGCAGCAGUGGGGAAUAUUGCACAAUGGGCGAAAGCCUGAUGCAGCAACGCCGCGUGAGCGAUGAAGGCCUUCGGGUCGUAAAGCUCUGUCCUCAAGGAAGAUAAUGACGGUACUUGAGGAGGAAGCCCCGGCUAACUACGUGCCAGCAGCCGCGGUCAUACGUAGGAUCCGAGCAUUAUCCGGAGUGACUGGGUGUAAAGAGUUGCGUAGGUGGCAUAAUAAGUAGCUAGUGAAAUCUGGUGGCUCAACCAUUCAGACUAUUAGCUAAACUGUUAAGCUCGAGACCGUUAGGGGUAACUGGAAUUUCUAGUGUAGGGUUGAAAUCCGUAGAUAUUAGAAGGAACACCAAUAGCGUAGGCAGGUUACUGGGACGGUUCUGACACUAAGGCACGAAAGCGUAGGGAGCAAACGGGAUUAGAUACCCCAGUAUUA
rnacentral:rRNA from 1 species